rnacentral:misc_RNA from 1 species
UCUCCGUUGGUGAACCUGCGGAGGGAUCAUUACUGAGUAAUGGCUCCGGCCCGACCUCCAACCCCCUAUCUUCCGACUCUGUUGCCUCGGGGGCGACCCGGCCCUCUGGGCGUCGGGGCCCCCGGUGGCUCACACCUCAACUCUUGCAUCUGUGCGUCUGAGUAACAUAUUGAAUCAAUCAAAACUUUCAACAACGGAUCUCUUGGUUCUGGCAUCGAUGAAGAACGCAGC